CAAGUCGAACGGCAGCGGGUCCUUCGGGAUGCCGGCGAGUGGCGGACGGGUGAGUAAUGCAUCGGGACCUGCCCAGACGUGGGGGAUAACGUAGGGAAACUUACGCUAAUACCGCAUACGUCCUACGGGAGAAAGCAGGGGACCUUCGGGCCUUGCGCGGUUGGAUGGACCGAUGUGCGAUUAGCUAGUUGGUGAGGUAAUGGCUCACCAAGGCGACGAUCGCUAGCUGGUCUGAGAGGAUGAUCAGCCACACUGGGACUGAGACACGGCCCAGACUCCUACGGGAGGCAGCAGUGGGGAAUAUUGGACAAUGGGCGCAAGCCUGAUCCAGCAAUGCCGCGUGUGUGAAGAAGGCCUUCGGGUUGUAAAGCACUUUUAUCAGGAACGAAACACUGUCGGCUAAUACCCGGCGGGACUGACGGUACCUGAGGAAUAAGCACCGGCUAACUUCGUGCCAGCAGCCGCGGUAAUACGAAGGGUGCAAGCGUUAAUCGGAAUUACUGGGCGUAAAGCGUGCGUAGGCGGUUGCUUAAGUCUGCUGUGAAAUCCCCGGGCUCAACCUGGGAAUGGCAGUGGAUACUGGACAGCUAGAGUGUGUCAGAGGAUGGUGGAAUUCCCGGUGUAGCGGUGAAAUGCGUAGAGAUCGGGAGGAACAUCAGUGGCGAAGGCGGCCAUCUGGGACAACACU
rnacentral:rRNA from 1 species